UCGUUGCAGUACGGACCAAUUGUGGACAUUGAUUUGAAGAUUCCACCGAGACCUCCUGGUUAUGCCUUUGUCGAGUUCGAAGAUCCUCGUGAUGCUGACGAUGCUAUCUAUGGCCGUGAUGGAUAUGACUUUGCUGGCUGUCGACUUAGGGUUGAGAUUGCACAUGGUGGUCGUAGAGGUUCAUCAUCAG